rnacentral:misc_RNA from 1 species
AGCAGCCGCGGUAAUUCCAGCUCCAAUAGCGUAUAUUAAAGUUGUUGCAGUUAAAAAGCUCGUAGUUGAAUUUCGGGAUCAAUAUUUCGGUCAUGCCGUUGGUAUGCACUGUUAUCAUUGAUUUCUCACCUUCUAAAGAACCGUAAUGCCAUUAAUUUGGUGUUACGGGGAAUUAGGACUGUACUUUGAAAAAUUGAGUGUUUAAAGCAGGCUCACGCUUGAAUACAUUAGCAUGGAAUAAUGAAAUAGGACGUUUGAUUCUAUUUUGUUGGUUUCUAGGAUCGACGUAAUGAUUAAUAGGGAUAGUUGGGGGCAUUAGUAUUCAAUUGUCAGAGGUGAAAUUUCUUGG